AGAGUUUGAUCCUGGCUCAGGACGAACGCUGGCGGCGUGCUUAACACAUGCAAGUCGAACGAGGUCCAUCCUUCGGGAGAAGACCUAGUGGCGAACGGGUGAGUAACACGUGAGCAACCUGCCCCGAAGACCGGGAUAACAGCGGGAAACCGCUGCUAAUACCGGAUGUCCCCACCGGACCGCAUGAUCUGGUGAGGAAA
rnacentral:rRNA from 1 species